GAUGAAGAACGCAGCGAAACGCGAUAGGUAAUGUGAAUUGCAGAAUUCCGUGAAUCAUCGAAUCUUUGAACGCACAUUGCGCCCCCUGGUAUUCCGGGGGGCAUGCCUGUCCGAGCGUCAUUACAACCCUCAAGCUCAGCUUGGUGUUGGGCCCCGCCGCCCCGGCGGGCCCUAAAGUCAGUGGCGGUGCCGUCCGGCUCCGAGCGUAGUAAUUCUUCUCGCUCUGGAGGCCCGGUCGUGUGCUCGCCAGCAACCCCCAAUUUUUUUCAGGUUGACCUCGGAUCAGGUAGGGAUACCCGCUGAACUUAAGCAUAUCAAUAAGCGGAGGA
rnacentral:misc_RNA from 1 species